UACGUAGGGGGCGAGCGUUGUCCGGAUUUAUUGGGCGUAAAGCGCUCGUAGGCGGCUCAGUAAGUCAGGUGUGAAAACUCCAGGCUCAACCUGGAGACGCCACUUGAUACUGCUGUGGCUAGAGUCCGGUAGGGGAGCAUGGAAUUCCUGGUGUAGCGGUGAAAUGCGCAGAUAUCAGGAGGAACACCAGUGGCGAAGGCGGUGCUCUGGGCCGGAACUGACGCUGAGGAGCGAAAGCGUGGGGAGCAAACAGG
rnacentral:rRNA from 1 species